AUGCAGAAUAUUGGAAUUGAGCAAAGGUGCAAAGGUGCAGAAAUUGAGGAUUUGGUAGUGGCUUUACUUGGCCUCUGCAAUCUUCUAAUGAAGGAAGGAAAAGCUAUGGAUGCUGAAAAUCCCUUUAUUAGAUUUCUUGACAUAUAUGCAAAGUUAUACGGGGAGAAUAAUGGAAGAGUUUUUGAAUGGCUAUGUGUUUGUUGGCCCAUGUGAAAUGUGCAUAAGGGAAUGCUAAUGAAGGCAGUCAAUUAUAUAGAAAUGCUCUUCAGGUCCUUACAGAUUCAAAAUGUAUGCCUUUGGAUGACAACGUAAUGGAAAAAAUGAUAGAUUUACCAGAAUUGCUGCAUUUAGUGGGAAGGUAUGCCUUUGUUUCAGUUCUGCCACUUUUCUAAUUAAGAAACCUCUUUGUGCUCAGACUACAAUAAUUUAACUAGCUAUGUUUGCAUUUAACAAAAUAAAUUGAUAGGUUGAGAAGUUUUAUGGAUGUUCUAUUAUCAUGUGCGCAUAAUAUCUUUUAAUAUCUUUUGAUAGAUUUGAGUUGACAUGUUGAUUUAGAUGUUCUUAAGGCCUGUGAUUGCUCUUCUACUGAUUAUGAAGUGCCUUUCUUUUUUUUUAUUGGUUCCUUAGAGUUGUCUCUACUUACAGAUCUGGGUUAAUAACAUUAAGUAUUAAAAUUCAUUUGUGAGGAUAGUUUGUAGUUUGUAUAUUUGAAGGUGUGAUAAUCUUGAACAUGCUAUUAGGUUAUGAAUUUGUUUGUUAUUGGCUUAAUAAGAUGGAUUGAAAUUUGCAAUCCAUGCAGCACAUGAAUUUUUGGGAGAUGGUUCAUAGAUUGAAAUUACCAUAAAU